ACGGAUCUAAGCAGAAAUGCAGUUUCUUUUAAAGUGAAUCAAUCAGACUGAUCAGACAAAUGAAGGGGGGUUUGUUACCACAGUGGUGUUGACUGUAACAGUAGUCUGGAACACAAAAACAAGCAGACGUCACCCUCUAACCUUCAGUCGCAUGAGUUUCAGGCUGGUCGUGGACUCUCACCUGCCUCGGUGGAUGACGCGGCGGUCAGCAGCAGCAGCAGCGGCGCGACGGUCCACAUCGCCGCGUCCCGGAGGAUGCUGAGGUCUGAUCGGUGAACUGUGGCAUCGCCAGAGCGGUGGUCUUUCCUGAUCAACAGGCUCAUUGAUGCAAAGAGGGCGCCGAGCACCCCCGCCGCCCCCACCCUCCACCUCUCUGCUUCUGCCAGCAGAUGCCCAGUGACUAGCAACAAGACCCAUUCAUCUCAUGGGAAAGUCGGAGGAUGCUGAACUGAAUACAUAUGAUUCAGGCUGUACAUCCUCCACAUAGAUCUGCAUUUGAGAGAUCUGUUCCUUUUUCAUGGUUGAGAUAAAUUGAUUUUAAAGUGUGAAUCUAGCCUCUCAAAUGCCACACGUCUGGAUUUAACAGAUGAGUGGCUCCGUCACAACUUGACCUCUGAGAACAAAGCCUCUUUUCUCCGCCGACAAUCCUCCACAGCUGGGUAUCACUGUCCCCGCUCCGCCCGCCGCCUUAUGAGUCACGGCGAGGCGCUCCUUUCAACCGCUCCACGCCUGCGGUCGCUCGCCGGCUCAACGUUUUUCGGGGAUUUCUCCACUUUGAUGUUGACAUUUGGUCACUCUGCAGGUGAAGGAGUUUUCUGCCAAACUCAUAAAAGACCUCGAUUGUUGGAAGUUCAGUCACUUUAACAAAUAAAAACAGACAAACCAGAAAUUAAAGCAUCUUGUUUUUUAAUUUCAAAGGCUAUCAAAUGAGACAAUAAAAUUCAUUUAGCAUUAGUUGUUUUUACAUUUAAAACAUCCCAAACCGCUCUCAGAAAAAUGAGUCUUUACACCACAGGCUAGAAAUCCGUUUGGGUGGAGAGAGCAGGUUUCAGUUCAUGAGGAGAUGCUGAACUUCUGAGCUUUUUAACAGCCAAAGAUGCUUCAACCGAAAAAAAAAAAAAAAUGAAAAAGACAAGUCUCUGCAUGCCAAAAGAUAAAAACAUGCACAGAAAUGUCCAAAAUAAAAAAAUGGGAGAAAAACCAAACUUGUUGUGCUUUUGUGUGUGGUUCUGAAUGUUUAAAAGCACACAUGCACACUUGUUUAUUGGGUAAUCCACUGCGGAUUGUCGAUGCAAAAAAAAAAAAAAA